rnacentral:rRNA from 1 species
CCCUUAGAUGUUCUGGGCAGCACGCGCGCUACAAUGGUCUUCGCAAACGGAUGCAUUCUCGAAGGAGAAUGCCAAUAUUGGAAUCUAUGCCUUGGUCGGGACAGUUGCUUGCAAUUUUUCGACUCGAACCAGGAAUUCCUUGUAAUCGUGAUUCAUCACAUCACGCUGAAUACGUCCCUGCCCUUUGUACACACCGCCCGUCGCUCCUACCGAUCGAAGAGUUAGGUGAAUUGUUUUGAUCGAUAAGAUUUGACUAUGGUCAACUCUCGUUGUGAAAUUCUGUGAAUCUGACUGUUUAGAGGAAGGAAAAGUCGUAACA